UUUUCCCUGCUGUGUUCGUGAUCAUACGGAAAUCUGUUGAGCCAAUGAAAACUAAUAGGGAGUCCUUUGGAGAUUGUGGCCGGCAUGCCCUUAAGCUGGGAGCCGAUAAGCAGUCGCGGGACGCCCACCUUUCCGGGAAUGGUUCAACUGAACCUCAUUGACACGGCAACGGCGGGGAGCUU
rnacentral:other from 1 species